rnacentral:lncRNA from 1 species
AGAGAUAUUCGUAGGGCCCUCUCGAUGUGACGGCAUCCAUCAUUAUCUCAACAUACACAAGUGAUUAUGUCACGGGGAUGCCGAAACAUGAAAAUGAGAAAGAAGAAUAAAAUCGAUAACGAGGAUAACGAUAUAGUGAGCAUGUGAUGACUCAGGAGGAUAUUGAUGCAUCUCGGGUUUUGUAAAGUAUCGUGAAGCAAAGGUAGUAUCACA